UACGUAGGGGGCAAGCGUUGUCCGGAAUCAUUGGGCGUAAAGAGCGUGUAGGCGGCCUGGUAAGUCCGCUGUGAAAGUCCAGGGCUCAACCCUGGAAUGCCGGUGGAAACUGUCAGGCUCGAGUCAGGAAGAGGCGAGUGGAAUUCCUGGUGUAGCGGUGAAAUGCGCAGAUAUCAGGAGGAACACCAAUGGCGAAGGCAGCUCGCUGGGACGGUACUGACGCUGAGGCACGAAAGCGUGGGGAGCAAACAGG
rnacentral:rRNA from 1 species